AAAAGAAAAGAAAAAAGAAUAAUUUUGUUCAACUGUUUACAAAGUGUGUAAAGUAAUAGUUUAAAAAACUUCGCCAAAGAGUGACCACGUAUAUCGUCCUUCCCGCGAUAUUUUUUUAUUAACAAUCAAAGAACAAUCGUGUGCCUGUCGCUGCUAGCAGAGAGAGAGAGAGAGAGAGAGAGAGAGAGAGAGAGAGUGAGAGAGAAUCGUGCUCGUUCCGCUUCUGA